UACGUAGGGCGCAAGCGUUGUCCGGAAUUAUUGGGCGUAAAGAGCUCGUAGGCGGUUUGUCGCGUCUGCUGUGAAAACCUAAGGCUCAACCUUGGGCUUGCAGUGGGUACGGGCAGACUAGAGUGUGGUAGGGGGAGACUGGAAUUCCUGGUGUAGCGGUGAAAUGCGCAGAUAUCAGGAGGAACACCAAUGGGCGAAGGCAGCUCGCUGGGACGUGACUGACGC
rnacentral:rRNA from 1 species